rnacentral:rRNA from 1 species
CCUACGGGUGGCAGCAGUGGGGAAUAUUGCACAAUGGGGGAAACCCUGAUGCAGCAACGCCGCGUGGGUGAAGGAGCGUUUCGGCGCGUAAAGCCCUGUCAGCGGGGAAGAAGAAAGACGGUACCCGACCAAGAAGCCCCGGCUAACUACGUACCAGCAGCCGCGGGAAUUCGGAGGGGGCGAGCGUUAUCCGGAAUUACUGGGUGUAAAGGGAGCGUAGACGGCGAGGUAAGCCUGAAGGGGAAGCCCCGGGCCCAAACGCGGAACUGCCUUGGAAACUGGUUUGCUGGAGUAGGGGAGGGGUAAGCGGAAUGCCUGGUGUAGCGGUGAAAUGCGUAGAUAUUAGGAGGAACACCAGUGGCGAAGGCGGCUUACUGGACUGUAACUGACGUUGAGGCUCGAAAGCGUGGGGAGCAAACAGGAUUAGAUACCCGUGUAGUC